rnacentral:rRNA from 1 species
UGGCUCAGAACGAACGCUGGCGGCAUGCUUUACACAUGCAAGUCGAACGGUAACAGGCCUUCGGGCGCUGACGAGUGGCGAACGGGUGAGUAAUGCAUCGGAACGUGCCCAGUCGUGGGGGAUAACGCAGCGAAAGCUGUGCUAAUACCGCAUACGAUCUGCGGAUGAAAGCGGGGGACCUUCGGGCCUCGCGCGAUUGGAGCGGCCGAUGUCAGAUUAGGUAGUUGGUGGUGUAAAGGCCUACCGAGCAGACGAUCUGUAGCUGGUCUGAGAGGACGACCAGCCACACU